CUACGGGGCGCAGCAGUGAGGAAUAUUGCACAAUGGGGGGAACCCUGAUGCAGCAACGCCGCGUGGAGGAUGACGCAUUUCGGUGUGUAAACUCCUUUUAUAUGUCAAGAAAAUGACGGUAGCAUAUGAAUAAGCACCGGCUAACUCCGUGCCAGCAGCCGCGGUAAUACGGAGGGUGCAAGCGUUACUCGGAAUCACUGGGCGUAAAGGACGCGUAGGCGGGUUGGAAAGUCAGGUGUGAAAUCCUACAGCUUAACUGUAGAACUGCACUUGAAACUUCUAAUCUAGAGUAUGGGAGGGGGAGAUGGAAAUAGUGGUGGAGGGGUAAAAUCCGUAGAAAUCACUAGGAAUACCUAAAGCGAAGGCGAUCUCCUGGAACAUUACUGACGCUAAGGCGUGAAAGCGUGGGGAGCAAACAGGAUUAGAUACCCGCGUAGUC
rnacentral:rRNA from 1 species